rnacentral:rRNA from 1 species
GAUGAACGCUGGCGGCGUGCCUAAUACAUGCAAGUCGAGCGAACAGACGAGGAGCUUGCUCCUCUGACGUUAGCGGCGGACGGGUGAGUAACACGUGGAUAACCUACCUAUAAGACUGGGAUAACUUCGGGAAACCGGAGCUAAUACCGGAUAAUAUAUUGAACCGCAUGGUUCAAUAGUGAAAGACGGUUUUGCUGUCACUUAUAGAUGGAUCCGCGCUGCAUUAGCUAGUUGGUAAGGUAACGGCUUACCAAGGCAACGAUGCGUAGCCGACCUGAGAGGGUGAUCGGCCACACUGGAACUGAGACACGGUCCAGACUCCUACGGGAGGCAGCAGUAGGGAAUCUUCCGCAAUGGGCGAAAGCCUGACGGAGCAACGCCGCGUGAGUGAUGAAGGUCUUCGGAUCGUAAAACUCUGUUAUUAGGGAAGAACAAAUGUGUAAGUAACUGUGCACGUCUUGACGGUACCUAAUCAGAAAGCCACGGCUAACUACGUG